UAGGGCUUUUAUCUUCUACUCCUGAGAACUGCUAUUAAGUGGAUACUUUGGAAUUCCAAAUGCUAUUUUAUAAAAAGCAAUGGACUGUGAGAAACUGAUGCUUCAUCAACCUUGAGAAAAACUUUAUGGUUCAAGGAUUCAACAAAUUCAGCAGGGGGCAGCAGGGCAGAGCUGAAAGAUCGUGAGCUUUGGCAUCAGACAGACCUGGGUUGUGAUCCCUGUUCUGCCUUGUUUUCACAAUACAACAGUGGACAGAUGAGCCUCUCUCAGCCUUAGUUUCUAUUUCUGUAAGAUAGAUAUUAUCACCCAUCUUCCACAGCUGUUGUGAGGACGAAAUGCAAUAAUGCAGUUCUAGCCCACAAAUGAUGGUCAACAAGGCUAGUUCCUUCCCCGUCUCCCACAUACUCUUUUCUAAUGGGCACACAUUUGGCAGUCUCAGUUGUUUGGGACAUGGGAAGACCUCAAAAAGAAGCUUAAAACAAUCUAAGUAGAAAAAGAGAUGUUAUAAAGUCCAUUCAUCAAAACAUCUCAUAGAGGAACACCUCAGAUGUAUAUAUAUGUAUUUAUUUUUGGCUAGGAUUGCAAUAAGCUGAAUUUCUGGUUCUCUAACCAUAACACUUAAGAAGCCCUACCCUGGAUAAAGAGAAGGGAAGUAAGCUACUUGAGGUGGGCACCAUGACUGAAACAAAUAGUGACGUGAUAGUGCCACGCUGAGGGAGGAAGCAGUAAGACCACACCUGUUAGACACGGGAGCUAACAGAAGAGCAGUUUAGAAUCACUCCCAGCAGGGCUGAAGGGUUCUGUAGCCUCAUUUCUCCACUUCCUGGAAGCUAUCUUCAUAUUACAGAAUAAUCUGCAACUGUUGUUGUUCCUUAUGAUGACCCUGACUCAUAAAAAGAAAGGUUUCAUUAUGUCUGUAGUAAUGCAUUCGAGAAGGCAGGCAUGUAACGCACUUCCUAAGUUGCAACCAAAUUUUUGAAACUUGAAGAUGUGAGCUUUGAUUAUAUGGACACGGAACUGUUCCUUCUCCCAUUGCCAUAUUUCUGGACAGCGGUCCUAUGAAGAUAUUAGUACUUUAUCAAGUACUUUUCAUCUACAUCACCUCCCUGUGGUAUGUUGGGCAGGUAUCCACUGUUUCCAUUUUACAGAUGUGGAAACUGAGGCCUGGCGAGAUUAACUCCAUGGUAGAGCUGAGAUUCAAGCCCAACUCCCGUGACUCCAAAGCUCAUGCCUUUUCUACUAUACCACAUUCCUCCCUAAAGCAGUCAUCCGGAAUAUGAACAUGCAGAACAUAUUAUAGGUAAUGGUUCACAUCCCAAAUGAAUUAAAUACAUCGAAAAAUUAA